GGGAUGGAGCAGUCUGGUAGCUCGUCGGGCUCAUAACCCGAAGGUCGUUGGUUCAAAUCCAGCUCCCGCUACCA
rnacentral:tRNA from 1 species